rnacentral:tRNA from 1 species
GGGAAGGCGGCCGUAGAGGUGUUAAGUUGUAGCCUUAAUCAUGAAGUUGAAGCACUUUCCUUCCUA